rnacentral:rRNA from 1 species
GACGAAGGAUGCAAGCGUUAUCCGGAUUCAUUGGGUUUAAAGGGUGCGUAGGCGGACUUGUAAGUCAGUGGUGAAAUCUCUUUGCUUAACAAAGAAACUGCCAUUGAUACUGUUAGUCUAGAGUAUACAUGACGUUGGCGGAAUAUAACAUGUAGUGGUGAAAUACUUAGAUAUGUCAUAGAACACCGAUUGGGAAGGCAGCUAACGAAACUAUAACUGACGCUGAGGCACGAAAGUGCAGGGAUCAAACAAGAUUAGAUGCCCUGGUAGUCCGCACCGUAAACGAUGAUUACUCGUUGUUGGCAAUGUGACCGUCAGCGACCAAGCGAAAGCGAUAAGUAAUCCACCUGGGGAGUACGCCGGCAACGGUG